rnacentral:rRNA from 1 species
CAGUCGCCGCGGGAAUACGUAGGUCCCGAGCGUUGUCCGGAUUUAUUGGGCGUAAAGCGAGCGCAGGCGGUUUGAUAAGUCUGAAGUUAAAGGCUGUGGCUCAACCAUAGUUCGCUUUGGAAACUGUCAAACUUGAGUGCAGAAGGGGAGAGUGGAAUUCCAUGUGUAGCGGUGAAAUGCGUAGAUAUAUGGAGGAACACCGGUGGCGAAAGCGGCUCUCUGGUCUGUAACUGACGUUGAGGCUCGAAAGCGUGGGGAGCGAACAGGAUUAGAGACCCCCGUAGUCCCUGUCUCUUAUACA